AUACGGAGGGUGCAAGCGUUACUCGGAAUCACUGGGCGUAAAGCGCGCGCAGGCGGUCUUUUAAGUUGGAUGUGAAAGCCUACGGCUCAACCGUAGAACUGCGUCCAAAACUAUUAGACUAGAGUGUGGGAGAGGAAGAUGGAAUUAGUUGUGUAGGGGUAAAAUCCGUAGAGAUAACUAGGAAUACCAAAAGCGAAGGCAAUCUUCUGGAACACUCCUGACGCUGAGGCGCGAAAGCGUGGGGAGCAAACAGGAUUAGAUACCCGAGUAGUCC
rnacentral:rRNA from 1 species